rnacentral:rRNA from 1 species
UACGGGGGGAGCAAGGGUUGUUCGGAUUUACGGGGCGUAAAGGGCGCGUAGGCGGUCAGCACAGGUCAGUUGUGAAAUCUCCGGGCUUAACUCGGAAAGGUCAACUGAUACUGUGCGACUAGAGUGCGGAAGGGGCAACUGGAAUUCUCGGUGUAGCGGUGAAAUGCGUAGAUAUCUGGAGGAAUACCGGUGGCGAAGGCGGCAUCCUGGACCGGCAUUGACGCUGAGGAGCGAAAGCUAGGGGAGCAAACGGG